GCUGUUUUGUGUGUCCCGAUCUGACAGCCCACAUGCCUCUGCUGCACGCCUUGGCCACAGGACACAGAGCACUGAGAAGACACAGGAUGAAAAUUCAAGGUGCUCUGCAAAUGAUGGAAAUUUUGUCAAGAUGUACACCCAAGUGGAUGCUUCUGCAGCUUAAACUCCUUUUGAGAAGGCAGCUUGGGAAAUCCCAUUGUUUCAGACAAAUCUAUGCUAGGGAAGAGGCUGAUAGCUCACAUCAAAGUGAACCGAAGACAAUGCUUCAUCUCAACGUUGCUGCUAUUGUUUGGGUUUAAUUGGAUUAAUUGAAUUGAAUGAGUUUGUGACCCACAAGAAACCAGACUUUAAAGUCAUUAUGUUCGGGAAGAAGGCGAGGACUCUUAAAUGCUUCGGAUGGCUUUGUCUCCAGACAGCAGCCACUUAAUGCUCACAGGGUCCACGUGAGUAAUGUUUUACACUGGAAUACUGAAAAGAACAGGAGUGGAGUUAUCCAGCAAAGGACAGAAACAUUCAAAUGUCAUCAACAACAACCAAAGAGUUUUGGAUAGUUGAAUCUGGACUCUUAAAUCCAAGACUAUACUUCUAGAACAAUGUGCAUUGGAGAUAAAGAGAAUAAUGAUGUAAACACACUGGAAUUUUAUACAAAGCUGAUAUAAGUUGAAAACUGCAUAAUGUUUUCACAACAAAGAAACAUGGGAAAGACCUUUAGAGCAUCUAGUCCUAAUUAGACUGUUGAGUAAAUGAAAUUCCUUUGUUGUAUGCAGGCAUGUGUAUGGUGGCCAGUAGUCAGUGUGGGGUAGCUUCUCCAAAAGUUCUCCACUCUUUUUUUUUUUUUUUUUUUUUUUGAGGAAGAGUCUUUCACUGAACAGUGCUCACAGCUUACACUGGCUGGUCAACAACCACCAGAGAUCUCGCAGGUCCUGCCUCCCUAGCAAUAGGACUACAAUGGUCAGACUUGGACCGUGUGCCAGGGAUCUAAACUCCAUCGUCAUGCUGGCAGAGCAUGCGCUUUCCUGCUGAGCUAUUUCCCCAGGCCCCCAAACCCCCUUUCAAUGCUAUCAUUACUAAAAAGAAGUACCUAAAGUGCAGUGAAGGGAAGGUACUAAGAGUCAUAAGUAUCUACAGUUUUAACAGUCACUUCUUACAAUGUUUCAUAAUUCUGCAUAAGAUAAAUGAAGACGCAGGAAAUUUUUAUCGAGUAAAAUGUUGUUCUGGCUUCUGAUUGUCAUAAUAUUGAAGGCAACUUUGAAACGAUACUUUUAUUAAUUAAAGACUAUCACCAUGCCUUCAGUGAGGAGUGAAGUGCAAACCCUGCCUGUCUGGACAAUGCAUCAUGUCUGGGCAGAAAGAGAUCUCCUGCAACUGCGUUUCAUUCUUUUGCACUGGUUCACGGACGACAACAUUUACGUGCAGAGACAGCCAGCUUUCUUGAUAAAUUCUGAGAGAUUCAUGCAGAAUCCCCAAGGGGGGAAAAAACAAAACAGCAUCAGAAUGUCCCCAGCACGAUCCUGGAUCUAGUUAUGCUCAGUGAACUUUUUAGUUCCAAGGCAGAGGCCAUCUGCACCGCCCUUAUUAACGCGCCCCUCCCUUCAUCUUGACAGGCCAGUCUGUUUGAAAGGGUGUGAAAGGAGAUGUUUUUCAUGGCGAACUGCUGAGCUGGGAGCCAGGCUUCAUCUCCUUAGUUCCCUGCUGUGCAGUGCCAGACUGCAGAACUCACUGGCUUGAGCGGAACUUGACACUAAUAUAGAUUUAAAAAAACAAAACAAAACAAACAAACAAAUCUGUGAAAUUCCUCAUGUUUGGGGAAUCAACAUAGACCUGAAAGACUAGAAGGGAUUUUUUCCCACUCCCCACAAUCUCUUUUAGUAUUACAGUGGUACCAUCAUUUCAAAGCAGGAACUAACUUGAAAAUGGGUGUACAAAUCAACCUCUAUAAAUAAUAACCUUCCCUGAGUGCAUCCCAUAUGCUGGAUUCUAUAUAAGGGUCUCAGUAAAGUGCUUCUAGGUUGCAGGGAUGCUCUGAGCACUGUAGACACUUGGAAGCAUUCUCCCUUUUCCUCCAGACAUUGCUAAUUGUCUCAUGUGGUACAAGAUUACCUCUUGUUGAGUCGUAAGCAGUAUGCUAAGGAUCUUCUAUAGAAUAAUUUUUAUUUCCUAAUAAGCCUUUCCAGUAGAUAUUCCAUAAAUAAAUAAAGUGAAGACCAGAGACAAUUACCUCAGUUCAAGGAAAAACAAACAAACAAACAAAAACUUGAAUCAAAAUCAAAUUUAGCAAGGCAAUGUGGCAAUGCCACUGUGGAUUAGAACUGGGAUCCUAGUUUUACCACACAGUGCUGCCAUGAGGCAAUGUUUUAGACUAGAGCAGCAAAAGCUGGGAUGAGAAGCUUGUAUGCAAACAGUGAUGCACCAUCAAGGCUCAUGGCUGAAAUAAAACCCCAAAUAACCAAGAGACCAGAAAGUAUCAAAACAACGCUAUUUCUCAUCACCACUCACAUGAUCACUUCCUUAAUUUCUCAAAGGGCACAAGCUGCAUAUUUACCAGAAGACAUGGGAAGAGCCUCCUGCAGCAACCACCACAAUCUGCUUGCUUUCCUUCUCACUACAGGAAAAGUCAACACCAAGAACGGCGGGUGAUUCGAAGGGCAAUCUGCCAGUUUCAUUUCUACAUUUGCAACAGAGAUCACUUAAAAACGAAUUCUUAUGAAUCCAAGGCACCAGGGCUUUACGGCAUUCCUUUUCAUAUUAUGUCGGUAAGGGAGUACAUUAAGACAUCCCAUGGUGUGUAAGGCCCAGCCUGACCCCAAAGGUGUUAAACUGAGAAAAGGCCAGUGACUCAGGAGUGAUGAUGAAUGAACUGAUGAAGAGAACUCAGACUGAUGAAUAAAGAAGUGUAACUUUCCAUCCAAUGUGUUCUCCCCCAUCAUUUUAGGGGUGGGAGAGGGCUUCCUAGAGGAUCGGCAUAAUCCUAGCAAACUGUACCCUGGAAGCCUUUGGCCCCAGGAGAAGAACAUUGAGCCUUCACAGCAUCAGGCUGAAUCCAGAACCCAAUGGCAAUUUUUGUCUUAAAAUUGCAUCAGCAUCCCUUAGCUCUUGAUCAAAAUCAUCCAAACAAAUUGGACAUGAACGCUUGAGUGAAAAAGAAAUCCUUUAAGACUUUAGUGAGGAUUUUUUUUUUUAAAGUGAAGUUCCUUUACAGCUUCAAGAUUUCAAAGGACACAGAAAUGAAACAUCCACUUUACAUCUCAAAAAACACUCCAUUUUGGGAAGGAUUAUUAAGUAUGUAGAGUCCUGUGCCAACAUUCAAUGUGUCUUAUCAUCAGACAUUUGACAUGAUGAAAAACUGUACUAAUUAUUCUUUAUACCUUGAAGACAAGAUGACUGGAGUAUAGCUACUAGCAGAAAAUAGAAAGGCCACAUAUAAAAUUUAAAUAUUGUAGCAAGUGGGCGCUCAUUACUUUUGCUUAAUAUCAUUGCCUUAGGAAUAUUCUUGUUUACCACCAGAUAAUUAGCGCCAAUAAUCCUUAAUCAUGCAGACCAUCUUUCUCCAUCAGCCAGUGGCCCAGUGAUGUUCAGAUCUUUCUUCCUUUUAUAAUUGUAUCCCUAAAAGUCAAUUCUGAGUGAUAGUCUUGAACAGGUGUGUUUUUUUCCUAGGGAGGCAUUUUGAUAAUACUACUAUCUAUAUUUGAAAAACAAACAAAUGAACAAACAAAUAAAAAGGGCUUCAGACCUAACCAUCCUAGCUCUAUAAGCAAUUUUAGUCUCCUCCUGGAUAUUGUAGUAAAACUCAGUCUGUGUUUACUAACAAGGAGCGAAAGAUUCUUUUAUGCAUCUCUUUAGUGAAUAAAUUGGCCUUUAAGACGUACGGUGUUUACAUGCUCUUAAUAUUCUGGGGGGAAAUGCAUUAGAUAAGUAGAUAAGAAAAGGGCACGGAGCAGAAUGAAGAGUAACAGAGCAUGAAAGUCUACAAGAGGACAACCUAAUUAGUGUGACAUCUUAAAUAACGUUAGCUGCAGGCUUGCACGAACUGAAGAGCUCCAAAAACAAAAGGACUGGAAGUUAAAAGAUGAUAAUGGCCACUUAGAAACCAUUAAGGAGGAUGACAAGUAUGACAUACUGCCUUGAACAUGAUCCCCAACAGAAGCCAGAGGAGUACAGAACACAGAUUCUUUGACUGCCAAAUUAAAGCCAACAAGCAAACCCCAGAUGUUUCUUUAUGACACAAGCCUUGAGCGGGACAAAGCUACCAUGCUGGGGAAUGAUACACUGUGCUGUGCUCUUCUGUUAAGUGGAACAUGGGUAUAGAGAACAAUGACGUCAGCAAAGGACACUUGAGCAACAUUCAGAUUUCUAGAGGAAUUUUCCACUAGAAUAUUAAAAUGGAAAAUCUUCAGCUCUUCUGGUGUUAAUAUGGCUGCAUCCAAAGCUGGAAGAAUUCUUCCUGAGGCCACCCACCUUGAGCCUAGUUUUUACGGAUCCUUAGGAGUCAUUGACAUGAGUCACCACCACAUCGGAGAAGGAGACUGCAAAGCUCCUGCUGAAUCCAAUCAGCAGAGAGAAGGCUCAGCAUUAAGCAUAGAAUGUUUUCAAAGAAAUGGAACCUUGUUACUUUCAAGCAAGCACCUUAAACCACGAUGAGAAAACAUACAAGCAGUGGGGUUGUGAGACCUACUCUAAGGAUUAGGUGCAAGUGACCUUAAUUUGCCCAGCUUUUAAAGUUGCUUCUGCAGCUGCAACAAGAAGUUGUGGCUGGUGUCCUGGGUUCCUCUUCUUGUCUCCAUCUAGAGCAUACAUACAUUACUCUCAUCCAAACAAACUAUCACUCUGGAGAGUUUACUGUAUUCAGGCCCCCCUGAGCAAAGCACUUGUUCAUUGCGCAGAUCACUGGAAGGUCAGGAGGCAGAGAGACAGAGCUAAAAUCCUCCUAAGAACCCCAUGAAAUAGGCUCAGGAAGGUCAAACAAACUGCUCAAUGUUGCACAGCUACAAAAUAAUAGAACAUUCUCCCUUCAUGUCCCCAAUCUCAGUUGUAAAGAGGCAAACAGGCAGAGAGAAUAUUUUAUAUUGACAAUUGCUAUGGUUUGAAGGUGAACUGUCCUCAGGUUCAUCUUAGUUCACAGAUGGUGGUGCUGUUUUGUGAGGCUGUGGAACCUUUGGGGUGAGAGGUGUAACUACUGGAGAGAGGUCAUUGCAAGUUGCCUUUGGGGGUUACAGAUUGGUCCCACUUUUAGCUCUGUCUCUCUGCUUCCUGGUUUGCCAAGAUGUGAACAGCUGUGCCCUCAAAGGCUGGCUCACAGGCUGUGCUGUGCCAGGGGUCAAGCAUUCCCAUCCAUGAUAGACAGAUAUCCCCUGAAAUGGUAAUUCAAACUAUACCCUCCUGGUUGUUUCUCUUAGGUAUGCCAGGACAGUGAUAAGAAAGUACUCUCUUUGAGAAUCUCCAAGGUAAACUGAGCCUCAGUUCCUGUCAGGUGACAAGAGAUCACCUCAGUGCAAUCUCAGCUGGGCUUUUCUAAGUGGUGAAUGAUAACACAAGGCCACCAGCCAGAUACCGAAGGGCUACUUUGUGUUUGAUAUCUGUUGUCUAUCACUGUCUAAGAUUCAACCUCACAACUGCGCCACUUAGGUACAAGCCAAAGCUCUGGUGAGUGAAGUCGCUUGUCCAAGGCCACCCAGCCUGCCCAGGUGAUGAGUCCUGCUAGUUUGUAAAAUGAACACAAUGCAGAGAAACACAGGUGACUGACUGUGCUGGGGUCAGGCAUGGGGUGGAACAGAAGGGAGCAUUUGGGUAGAGAAGCGGUGCUCACCUGACUCCAUGCGCCAGCCUUCCAUCUGGGGCAGCGUCCUCCUCGGCACCUUCUGUGCCCAUGCGGCUUAGUAAGGUGCUUACAGUAAUCACUCUCUAAAUGGCUUCCAUCUUUGGCCAAGCAGUAAACAUUUCGUUGUUUAUGCCCUCGACCACAAGAGACAGAACACUGCAAUAUAAAGCAACGGCAAGGUUGUUGUUGUUUUUUUAAUCAUAGUGACUUUGAUUAAAAAAAAAACACAAAAAGUGUAAAGUGAUGAUAAGAUCACGUCUAAUGAGAGUUACCAUUACCUGCUUCUUUCCAGAGCCAUUCUGGAGAGUAACUCAAAGCCUUACAGGGAAGAAAGGUAGAAAGAAAAAAAAAAAGCCCAUGCAUUAUAGCAGCAGCCCUGUGUGGUAUGUUGGUGGCUACAGCAGCAUGAGAAGAUCAUGACAAUUUAACCUGAAAACCACCUCAUGAUCCUGAAAUUAUUAUGGCUUUUUUACUGAGGGAAGUCCCACGACAGAACAGUAAAACACACCUUCAGUAAAAUGUUUCCUGAUUCACUCAUUGGUAUGAAGUGCAUUGCCAACAUGGCCAUGUUCAAUUUUUUAAAAGACGAUAUUUAAGAAAACUCUCAAGCUAUUUCUUUAAGGGAAAAAGCUCUCAUUUCCCCAGCCCAUUGGAAAGAGGUGAAAAAGGCAAGGAAAAAAAAAAAAAAAAAAAAAAAAACCUGCAAGGUUAGCUGGUGGGUAAGUCCGUGCCAACUUCAGGAGGGAGGCAUUACCUUUCAACUUUGAUCUGUGAGUUCACUGGACUGUUUUAAAUGUGACCUUGUCUGACCACAUCUAAGAAACUUGACUUUGAUUUCAGAUUAGGUUUCUCAGAAAGGUUUAGGAAUCAAAGUGCCCAUGGAGUCUGGACAAGAAUUUGAUGUGACAGCUUCUUGUAGAACAGGCAAGAGGCUGGCCCCAAUGGGCGCACUGAGACAUUCAACAUCCAAGGCCUCAUUAGCAAUUACAGAGUCCUUACUAUCGCCAUCCGAAACUAAUGGCUCAGAUCUUUAAAGACAUUUUAUUUCCUACUAUAAUAGCCUUGCUUUCUAGAGGGGAGUAAAUUUAAGAAUGAAGAAUAAAAGGUAAAGUCUCAAUGAAAACAGAUUUCACAUUACAUUUCUCUCGACUUCACAUUUCUUAUUCCCCCCAAUAACUUUGUUAUUUUUUUGUCUUAAAUUACCAAAGUGCCCUUUGAUGCCUAAUAGACAAACAGCUCCAUGUAAAACAAGGAGCCUAAUACAAAUUUUAUCAUUAUUACCAGACAUUUUCAUAGUUACAUCAUUCAUAAAUGUGCCAAACAUGUUUUUCUGUUUAAAACAAGCCACUAUAAAAAUUUCAACUGCAGCUGGUAGAGAAAUUUAAAAUAUGUAUAUUAACACAUUUGGCUUUAACUUUUCACUUUAAGAUGUGAAAUAUUCAUGAAUAUAUAUGAUUCAGAGUAGCUAUUUUGGAAAUCGUAAUGUUUUACAAUUUGGAAGGAGUGAGACUAGUUGGAAGGUCUGUAUCCAAACAAAACCUGUGACAAUUAACCUACAGAGUUUGGGUACAUGUAAAGUACUGAGGAUCUUUUUCAAAGGCUUCUUGUGACGAGGAUCUUAGAACUUCAGUCUCUGAGAAUGGGUAAAGAUUUGCACAAAGAUAAUGCCUAUUGUAAGUCACUAGUUCAUAAUUUUUAAAAUGUUACUUCAAUAAGAAAAGAUGAGGUCAUAAUUACAAUUUGGGAUAAAUUCAUUUGCUUAAUGAACAAAAACAUCUAUUGCGUACAUGCCAUGUGGUAGAAAUUAUGGGACAUGCUGGAGAUACAGUGAUAACAGAAUUGACAUAGUCCUUGACCUCAGGGAGCUUAUAUAAGACAAGUAAUGGAAUUCAAUGUUGCUCAAGUGGAUGACAAAUAUAAGUACUGUGUAUGAAUAUUCAUGAGCCGACGUCUAAGAAACAAAUAAGCUGCAGUGAUUGGAAGAGGGCUCCCCGCAGUCUUCCACAGGGCUACACCAGCCGAGCUUGUAGGUCAGAAAAAUGAGAUUGAAUUAUAUACGGCACAUGAUGGGAAAUCUCUGAGGAGACUUAAUUUAGGAUAAGGAAUGAUCUAAUUUUUGUUUCAAAACUUCUACUUUGACUACUGAGUCAAGUACUAGAUCCGAAUACAGGGUAAAUGGAAAGGAGAGAAACCAUGAAGAAAGCCAGCCUAUUUGUGCCAGAAAGAGGCGGCGGUGGCUGGGAUGAGUGUAAAGGUUUGGGUGGGGAAAGUUGUGGGCAAAGGGGGAAGAGGGCAAAGAUGAGAUUCCAUUUCUGGUUAGGGCAGCUGAACAGAUGGUGAUAAUAUUUGCUAAAAUUCAAAAGAUGAUGCAUACUGGGAGAAAAAGCACUGAGAAUCAAGAGUGUUUUUAUUUGUAGGAAAUGGGUCUGACAGAAAGCAUAGAGAAUAGUGAGUGGGUGGUAACAUUUGCUUGAUUAGAGUAAAAUCCUAGGUUGUUUUGUUUUUUGUUUUUUUUGUUUUUUUUUUUUUUUUGUUUUUGUUUUUUUCUCAUCAAAUAGACAUGGGUGAACUUAGAGCAAAUAUAUUCUUAGGAAAAGUCAUUUCAGCAUGCAAGCUGUGCAAAGAAGCUGACUGUCAAUGUGAAGUAGGAAAAGACUUUGUGAGACAGUUAAUAAUCCGCCAGGGUCAGUAGAAGACACAGUCUAAAAGAAGGUAACGAUCUCUAGAGUCAGAAUUAGAAAAGUCUCAACAUUCUCGCAUUCACUAUGUGCCAGACACUGCCCUAAGAUAUUAUUAGUGCUAAGACUUGGAUAGUUUAGCCAUCCCAACAUCCUAACACAACUCCAUAAUAGAGAUAGGUACUGUUACUAGAGACAAGUCAAAAGGUUUUUGCAAAAUAGAACAACCACAAUGCUUUAUAUACAGUGUCACACAUGCUGUUCCAGUACAAGUAACUAUAUUUCUGUUGGGAGCAAUAACAGUGCUAUUAUUGUGAUCAAGAAUCUUGCUGUCAAUAAUUCAUUCAAAGUAUGCCACUAAUCCAUUAUCAUCUAUUGCCAACAAGCCAGUGAUGAAUGAUCCAGGUUGUAAAUAUGACGCCUUCGAUAUCUAGAUUAGCUGCUCUCUACCCAUUUCUAUGUGCAUUUUCUUUAGAUGAGACUUGAAUACAAGUGAAAAUAGAAAAAAAGAAUGCAAGACUUAAGCAUGGCUCACCACACAUGUUAUUUGCCUGGAAUUAUUAAGAUCUCAAAGUGAUCAGGAAAUCCUCAAGGUGUCUCAUCUGACAGCAAACAUUCUUCAUUUAACAUUUUCUAAAUUACCUAUGAAGAAAAGCAGCUGUUUGUUGAAAUACUCAACUCUAACAGGCUUAUUAAUGUGUCUAUUAUGACUUCAUAAAGGAGCUGUCACUUUGAUAAUCAAAUAAACACAGGUUCUAGCUCUUACAUUCCGAGGGGAAAUUCCAUCUGAUCGUUCCCAGUCUUUUCCCAGGCAAAGAUGACAUUUACAUCAACCUGCGUCACCAAAGACACGGUUGUUAUAUUUAGUACGUCAUCUAGUAUUUGUUAUUUAUUGGCUACAUAUCUGAAAGUUCUUGUUCCUGGGAACAUUUAAUUCCUUACAUUUUGCAGCCGAAAUAGCCUCCUAGUUUGCCAGUAAUACUGGCUUUUUUUUCUCUCUGGAAAUGACUCAACUUAUUUAAGAGAUUGAUUCUUCCUUGCCCCUCCCCUCUUUGCCCCUAAAUUUGAGCAAGAUUCUGAACAACAUAAUCACUGCUUGGUACUUAGAAGCACCAAGGUCAGCCAGCCGAAUGCUUGGGAUUUCAAGCUUUGUUUCUGUGAGGCCAUUCAAAGGGCAUGCUCAGAGCUGGGCUGCAUUCAGAUGUGCUGACACUUUCAACUCACUACAGUCUGAAAAUUAAAAUCCUUGCAUUUCAACUCUGCUGGUGGGAAUGGAACUCAAGAUGAAGGCAGUGUGUUCAUAAUUUCUUCCCAAGGCUUCAGCCCUCUGGAGAAGCAGAUCUAUAUAUGAGGAUGGAUGUGGGUCUGGUGCACUGGCCCUGGUCUUAGAGGAUCCUUGUCUUUUCACUUGUGCUAAGGGUCAUGGUUCUCUAAUCAUCAAGAAGUCUGGAAACAACCCUGGUGUCCAUGUCUGAUUAAGAAGGGCUGGAUACCAAAAGAGAAUGAAUUCUUCUGGCUGUGCCAUUGUAGAGGAUAUGGACUUCCCCGUGAUGAUGGAGUUCUAUAUGGACGUGGCAAGUUCAUCAUAAAGAAGCCAGAAGGAAGAAGAGGGGAAAGUGGAGGUAGAGAAUAAUGAUGCAAAGACCAAGAGAAUGUCAUGUACUGGGGCCGAUUAGCAGCAAAGAGAGACUAUUGUAGGCGACCUUGGCAGUCAGAAGGCUAACAUCAUUCUGAGGAGAGUGAUGAGGGUGUAAGGACCUACUCUGCCUACAGUGCAAGUACUUAUGAAAACAGCUGCAAGGAAAAGAGGGUAGUGGGUGAGACACAAGCUCCAGAAUCCACACUCUUGAAUAGUCCAAUGAAGUGGCUCAAAAAUACCACGAGAAGGAAUGCAAGGAGAAGAAAUAAAGACUGACAUGUAAACAAAGAUGAAUGGAGUUGGCACAAGCCACGAGAGGUCUUGCCACUACAGCAGAUUAUAGCGACAUGUGAUGUGGUGUCACAGUGGUCUCCUCACGGACAACAAAAAGACUGGCACCAACACAGACACGCUCAAGAAGGAUCUUCUGUGUGGUCAGCACUACUAUAAACAAUGGGAUGAAGUGGAGGCUGGAACAAGGCCUUAUCACUUGGAUAUAGACUUUUGCAAAGGGAAAGCUGUCUUGGAACUUCCACCUUCAUUGCUAUAAUAUUUAUUUUUCUUUAAUAAUAAUUCCUCUUUGAAGCAUACUGAAGGUGAGCAAAUGAAUGUGAUAGACGGAAGGCAUCUGCAGUUGUCUGAGCAGAGACCCAGGUGGACUCCAUGUGCACACACUGGUGCUUUGCCUUAGAAUCUUCUCUUCUAGCCACCUUUUUCUGUCUUCCAGGAACUGCACAGUGUAAUAGGAAAAUGAGGUAGACAUAAGUACUGAAGUUUGCCAGGCUGAAACAAAAGCAUUGCUCCCUUGCAUGCGCAUAACCUCUCAUCAUUCAGGUCCAGAAGCACAGAUCUCAAAGGCUCAGAGAACACUUUUCAAGUUGUCAUGGAAACACCCAAACAAGCAAUUUCUGUAGAGAAGAACCGCCAUCUACAAGAUGAUCAGUGAACAGAAACACAGGGCAAUGCAAAAAGAAACGCCACCAGACUGCCCUGGGAAUGUGGCCGUGACAGUGAUGUGACUUUCUUCCUCUAGAUGGAUUUGCUCAGUCUAGAAUGUUCCUGAUUUGCAAGACAUUUCUUACUUCACCUUGACAAUAUAGGGUUCUUUCCAAUUUGUCCCUAUUUUUUCAUGGCAUAGGUGUAUUGAUUACCCAAUGUACUUUUAGGAUUGGCUCAAUAGUUCAAGAGAGCUGAAGAACACUGUUUCACAAACAAAGGUCCAGGGACAUUAUUUUUUAAAGUCCAGAAAAGAAAAUUUUGUGGUAUGUUUUUCUCAAGCAAGGUUUUUUUUUUUCUUUUC